rnacentral:SRP_RNA from 1 species
CCGUGCACGGCGGGGGGUUAGCGGUCCCCUGCACCCAAAACCCGCUAUACGUGGGGCCGAUGGGCCUCCCGAGAGGUCCGGAGGCGGAAGCGAGCCGGGUGCGGAGGCGUUGAUGGCCGAGCCCCCUACGACACAUGCCGGCGAACCCCGCCAGGCCCGGAAGGGAGCAACGGUAAGCCGGCCUCUGUGGGUGAUAGGGGAUCACUUGGUCUGAGCCGAAGGCCCGGAAGCGCCCGUUGAAGGACCCCGACGGAGGUCCGCACGG